rnacentral:rRNA from 1 species
UACGAAGGGGGCUAGCGUUGCUCGAGAUGACUGGGCGUAAAGGGCGCGUAGGCGGAUGGCACAGUCAGAUGUGAAAUUCCCGGGCUUAACCUGGGGCUGCAUUUGAUACGUGUUGUCUUGAGUUCGGAAGAGGGUCGUGGAAUUCCCAGUGUAGAGGUGAAAUUCGUAGAUAUUGGGAAGAACACCGGUGGCGAAGGCGGCGACCUGGUCCGACACUGACGCUGAGGUGCGAAAGCGUGGGGAGCAAACAGG